GACGAACGCUGGCGGCGUGCUUAACACAUGCAAGUCGAACGGAAAGGCCCUGCUUUUGUGGGGUGCUCGAGUGGCGAACGGGUGAGUAACACGUGAGUAACCUGCCCUUGACUUUGGGAUAACUUCAGGAAACUGGGGCUAAUACCGGAUAGGAGCUCCUGCUGCAUGGUGGGGGUUGGAAAGUUUCGGCGGUUGGGGAUGGACUAGCGGCUUACCAGCUUGUUGGUGGGGUAGUGGCUUACCAAGGCUUUGACGGGUAGCCGGCCUGAGAGGGUGACCGGCCACAAUGGGACUAAGGUACGGCCCAGACUCCUACGGGAGGCAGCAGUGGGGAAUAUUGCACAAUGGGCGGAAGCCUGAUGCGGCGGCGCCGCGUGCGGGAUGACGGCCUUCGGGUUGUAAACCGCUUUCGCCUGUGACGAAGCGUGAGUGACGGUAAUGGGUAAAGAAGCACCGGCUAACUACGUG
rnacentral:rRNA from 1 species